rnacentral:sRNA from 1 species
AUUGCUUCGCACAACAUAGUCGUACCCUUUCACUAAAAUUUAUUCAACCAAAAAUCACCAACUACGAACUCAUCAUUGGGCCCUGCUAACUGCUACCGGCUUCAACAUGACUGCCUUUCCUGAAGGCUCCACACUCCACGAACAACAACAACCUUCGCAUCCCGUUUCACCAAUCACCGAUUGUCACUAGACUUGACGGAUGCAAGCCCUUCGACGUGACAUUGUGGAGCCUAGAUUAUUAGCAAACUUCAACCUCUACUGAGCGCACCCGCUACUACUCCACUACUGACACUAGACAUCCCAUAACCUGCAAGAUGCCAGCGCAAACACAGGUUACUCAACUUUUCGGGCUCAGCUGAAACGUUUGACCUGCCCACUCUCGCGUAUUGGUCAUCUCAUUUCGCGUGUUCAGAUUGAGCCUGAGAAUGGCUGACGUCACCGUUCCUUUGGAUGAGGCUAAAAAGGAUCUUUAGAAAUACUGGGAGGACGGAAGACAGCGAGGCGAUGACGAUGAAACGGUGUGUAUAAUGAUGUCCUUUUCACCACCAGCUCAUCCAUGAUCCAUAAUCGUCAUCGAAGAGGCAGGAGGCUGCUGGCAGCCACAUUUGAUUAGCUUAUCAAUGCGAAUUCUUCACCUGCAAUAAGUAGCAACAACAACGUAACUGAUCGACAUAUUGUAUCUGCCUACGUACGUAGUUUUGCGGAACAAUUGUUUCGUCUUUCGAACAUUCCUUUGGUGAGAAUUUAGAAUUUAGAGGCCAUGACGAGAGACAUGACAGACCACAGGAUAGGAAAGGGAAACGGGGAAUGUUAACAUGCGUACAACAUAAUCGACGUUUUCAUUUGUUCCAACAGGCGAAUCGAAUAACUUGUGAUUUCUCAUUGUUGACUCGUUCGCGUAUCCUGCUAGUGGUGCAAUCAUCCUUGUCGUUAAUCACUGAUAGAGCGCUGUGCAUGAAUAUUUUCUGAGUCAUGAGCUCAUGAGAUUGGCGAAG